GUUCUUGCUUCGGCAGCACGUAUACUAAAAUUGGAACAAUACAGAGAUUAGCAUGGCCCCUGUGCAAGGAUGACAUGCAAAUUUGUGAAGCAUUCUCUGUGUGU